GAAGAGAUCUCUCCAAAGACUCAACCAGCUUCUCAGCCCUGCGGUACUUAUAUACAAAUUUGUAGUUCUCAACCUUGAGCUCCCCCACAAUUAGGGAUGGCAAUUUAACCCGAACCCGUGGGUACACGCCCGAACCCGACCCGAUUUGACGGAUAAAACCCGAGUUGACUGGGUAUGGGUUCGGGUUCGGGUAAAACCCGAUUUAAAAAAUAGGGUUCGGGUUCGGGUCUGGGAUGUUCACUACCCAUACCCAAACCCUACCCGAACACAUGUAUUUACUAAAUUACCCCUUGUACACCAAGCCACCACCCUUUACAUUUUCUGUUUGGUCAGAUAUGCUGGGUUCAGUUGUAUUAUUUCUACUUGUUUAUGUAAAAAUCACCAAAAUCACCAACAAUCCCCACAGAACCCCAAAACUGUAACCCAGAUCUGGUCGACAGUGGCAUAUAGAACCUCCAUCGCUCCACCACGAGACCACCGUCCUCGAGCCAGAACCUUCGCGAUCCAAGCAUAGUUGCCGUCGUGUGACCAUUAGAAGUGUCGCGCCGCCAUCGCCUCGAGUCCUCGAUCUCCCUCUUUCUCCUUCGAUCUGCAGUUCCUCUUCACCGUUCUUCCAUCUUCACCUUUCCCCCACCGACCCCCACCUCGACCCAUAGCCGCAACCUCGCCGUGAAACCCAAAACCCUCGCCGAAAAUUGAACCCUCCAUUCCCGAUUUCAAAGAGGAGGUUGAAGGUGGUGUUGUGGCUGAGUUCAGCGAUUGGUUGAAGGUGGUGUUGUGGCCGAAAAUUGAACCCUCCAUUCCCGCUUCUUGUUUCGUCGCCAACGUCCUCGGCUUCUGACUCGCUUGGAAAGUCAGAUUCACAACUAAAAGUGUGAUAUUGAAAGGAUAGCAACGAGGCUUGCUCUCUCAUGGACUUGGGAAUCAGAAAUUUUUAGGAAUAUAUUAUUUGCUGGUUGUUGAUGCAGGAACUUUAAGGGGCCGUAAUUUGCUGGUUGAUUGGGCCUAUUAUGGAAAUUAAUUGUUGCUGGUUGCAUACUAUUAAGCUGAAGUAUUUUGCAGGAGGAUUUGCAUCUGUAACAAGUUGGAGUUUUAUUCAAUCAUGGUGGAGUUUAGUUACCUUUUGAGACUUAAUUAUGCUGUAAUGGGGACCUGUCCAGUGCCAUUCGUUGAAAUGGAGUUUAGAUAGAAAACUCUUCUGUUGCUGUCACUUACAAAUUUUAUCUUAAUAGCAACAUGCAAAUAUUUCAACAAUUGCAUAAAA